AAGAAACUUUUUAACAAGCAAUUGAUUUUGAUUUCUCGGCAUAAGUAUUACCUGGAAGAUGCGUCUUCUCGUUUUGAUAUCUGGUAGUGGGAACUCGAUCUUCCUAUCAAUACGUCCAGGUCGAAGAAGUGCCGGGUCAAGACUCUCGAUUCUGUUUGUUGCAAGGAUGACCUUUACGUCUCCUCUUGAAUCGAACCCAUCAAGCUGGUUCAGAAGUUCCAACAUAGUUCUUUGGAUCUCACGCUCACCUCCUGAGUUAGCAUCAUACCUGUUUCCAUUUCAAUCAUUUAAUCGUACGGCGAGGAUGGAGAAGCGCGACUGAGAAAGAAAUAGGUUUAGGGGUUUUUCUGUGUGAUCCCUUUAUAUACUAAAGGUCAAGUAGCCUAGUUAAUUAAAUAAUGACAUGUGAAAUUUUUUACAAAAUAAUAAAUAAAUAAAAGAAUUGAAAAGAAAAAUAUAGCAAAAGCAAAACACGUUCCCAUGAUUUUUGUUUAGCAUAAGAGGGAAGUUAAAAUUUUCAAAUAUUAACUUUUUAUAACUUCCUCAUCACAAAGACGAAAUAUCCAUUGCUUUGCUACGUUACACUACAAGCUGGAAGAACGAAGAUUUCCAAUCCACGGUGUAAAAAAGAUUCCCAAUUCAAAAAAAUAUAAGAAAAACGAAGAAUACAACAGCAACAUCAAAAGACAAAACACAAAAAAUAUGUCACAAUGGUAAAUGAUCUUAAUUACACUAUCAAAGAUGAACAUCAUUAAAAUAAAAUAAAAAUAGUUUGAAAUAAUAAAAAAAAAGAAAAAAAUAGAAAAGAAAGAUGCAAGAAACAUGUUUCACAGUUACGUGUUAAUUUAUAGUUACUAGAUAAAAUCAAAAAAAAAAAUUUACUUUACCUCGCCGUCCGUUAUUCUUUCAACACCUCCACGAUCACCAUUUAGUUUUUACGUCCUAUAUUCUAUUAUUUAUAAGAUUAUUCCAUUACUCCACAAUUCAAAAGAUCUCUCUUUUGUUUUUCAUCUUUCUUCUUCAUUUUUCAUUUUGUGCUCGAGUGUAGCAAAAAAAAUUAUACAAAUGUCUUGCCUAUAUUCAUAUUUAUUUGUUUCCUUCUCAGUUUAACAAUUUUUGUGCUCUCUAAUUCUUUCUACAUGAUUUAGGUUGAAAAUCGUACUUAAGUAUUCUCCUAUUUCGAAAACUUAAUUCUUUCAAAGAAGAAGAAAAAAAAAUUCAAAACUUUGUAAGCAACUUAGGUAACAGUAAGUAUGUCUUAAUUUACUAUAUACAAAUUGAUUAUUUACAGAUUUUUGCUUUUUUAUAACCGAACAUAUUCAACUAUUUUCAGUAAAAAAAAACAUAUUCAACUAUUUUUUCAAAUCUGUUUAUGAAUCUAUUAUAUACAAGUUGUCAUCUGUCCCACCAGAGGCUUUGCCCUCCCUAUAGCUCAUCAGCCCAACAUCUAGGGAUCUUUAACUCGACCAACAAUGGAGAUCCCUCAAAUCAUAUCGUAGCAGUUGAGUUUGAUACCUUCCAAAACCAAGAGUUUGGUGACAUAGAUAGUAACCAUGUCGGCAUCGACAUCAAUAGCUUGCAAUCAGAGAUAGCUUCCUCAGCAGGUUACUAUAAAGAAGACGGUACUUUCAAAAACAUGUCUCUUGCAAAACGUAAGCCGAUACAAGCAUGGGUUGAAUAUGAUUCAUCAAGGAAACAGCUUAACGUCACGCUCCAUCCUCCUCAUCUCCCUAAGCCAAAUAUCCCAUUGCUUUCUCUAACCAAAGAUCUGUCACCGUAUCUCCUUGAGUCUAUGUACGUUGGCUUCACUUCAUCCAACGGCAUGCUUCGUUCAUCUCAAUAUGUUCUAGGCUGGACAUUCAAGCUCAAUGGGGAAGCUUCGAACCUAGAUAUAUCCCGUCUUAUAAGGAAUGAGAAAUAUUUAUGUGAGAAACUUUGAAUUAUUAUAAAACCCAUAUCAGACUUAUUUUGUGUCAGGGAUUUUUAAUGAUUUAAUAUAAAAUAUAUAAGUAAAUUUUAUUAUAAUAUUAAUAGCUAUUUAUGAGAGAGAGAGAGAGAGAGAGAGAGAGAGAGAGAGAGAGAGAGUACGGCGAGGAUGGAGAAGCGCGACUGAGAAAGAAAUAGGUUUAGGGGUUUUUCUGUGUGAUCCCUUUAUAUACUAAAGGUCAAGUAGCCUAGUUAAUUAAAUAAUGACAUGUGAAAUUUUUUACAAAAUAAUAAAUAAAUAAAAGAAUUGAAAAGAAAAAUAUAGCAAAAGCAAAACACGUUCCCAUGAUUUUUGUUUAGCAUAAGAGGGAAGUUAAAAUUUUCAAAUAUUAACUUUUUAUAACUUCCUCAUCACAAAGACGAAAUAUCCAUUGCUUUGCUACGUUACACUACAAGCUGGAAGAACGAAGAUUUCCAAUCCACGGUGUUCAGGAAGAGACAAGAUUUGCAAAAGGAUGGAUAUGUUUGUACUAGUGAUUCUUCUUCUUCUGAUAUUUUCCAACAAAGCAGUUUCUCAGAGUGAAGAAGGAGAGUUUGGCUUCAACGGUUACUUAUACAACAGCUAUGGAAUUGCCAAUCUUGACUCCAAUGGCUUAUUAACGCUCACAAACUCGACCAGCUACAAAUCUGGUCAAGUUUUCUACAACUUACCAGUCCGGUUCAAGAACUCAAAAAAUGGUACAGUGUCUUCCUUCUCCACCACCUUUGUUUUCGCUAUAGUCCCAAUAUUCCAAGGCCAUGGGAUGACUUUUGUCAUCUGUCCCACUAAAGGCUUGCCCUACAGCUCAUCAGCACAACAUCUAGGCCUCUUUAACUUGACCAACAAUGGAGAUCCCUUAAAUCAUAUUGUAGCAGUUGAGUUUGAUACCUUCCAAAACCAAGAGUUUGGUGACAUAGAUAGUAACCAUGUCGGCAUCGACAUCAAUAGCUUGCAAUCAGAGAUAGCUUCCUCAGCAGGUUACUAUAAAGAAGACGGUACUUUCAAAAACAUGUCUCUUGCAAAACGUAAGCCGAUACAAGCAUGGGUUGAAUAUGAUUCAUCAAGGAAACAGCUUAACGUCACGCUCCAUCCUCCUCAUCUCCCUAAGCCAAAUAUCCCAUUGCUUUCUCUAACCAAAGAUCUGUCACCGUAUCUCCUUGAGUCUAUGUACGUUGGCUUCACUUCAUCCAACGGCAUGCUUCGUUCAUCUCAAUAUGUUCUAGGCUGGACAUUCAAGCUCAAUGGGGAAGCUUCGAACCUAGAUAUAUCCCGUCUUCCAAAACUUCCUGAUGACGACAAUCAAGAAAAUGGUCUGAAAAGGAUCUUGGCCAUUAGUUUGAGCUUAACGGGUUUCACUGUCCUCGUCUUCUUGGCCAUAAGUCUUACCCUUUUCUUGAAAAGGAAGAAGUUAAUGGAAGUUCUCGAGGACUGGGAGGUUCAGUUUGGUCCGCAUAGGUUUGCUUACAAGGAUCUUUACGUUGCCACAAAGGGUUUCAAGAACAGCGAGCUUCUUGGUAAAGGAGGGUUCGGAAAAGUUUACAAAGGUACAUUGCUGACGUCGAAGAUAGAUAUCGCAGUGAAGAAAGUUUCACAUGAUUCAAGACAAGGGAUGAGAGAGUUCGUAGCCGAGAUCGCCACCAUUGGGCGUCUCAGACAUGCUAAUCUAGUUCGGCUUCUUGGUUACUGUAGACGCAAGGGGGAACUUUAUUUGGUCUACGACUGUAUGCCAAAGGGGAGUCUUGAUAAGUUUCUAUACAACAAACAAGAACAGAGUCUUUCUUGGUCACAAAGGUUUAAGGUUAUCAAAGACGUAGCUUCUGGUCUUUGCUAUUUGCACCAGCAAUGGGUUCAAGUUAUCAUCCACAGGGACAUUAAACCAGCGAACAUUCUUCUUGAUGAAUCUAUGAACGCAAAGCUUGGUGACUUUGGUCUUGCCAAGCUCUGUGAUCACGGUAUUGAUCCGCAAACCUCUAACGUGGCGGGUACGUUUGGAUACAUCUCACCGGAACUUUCAAGAACGGGGAAGGCAAGCACAAGCUCUGAUGUAUUCGCGUUUGGAGUGUUGAUGUUGGAGAUAGCUUGCGGCCGAAGACCCGUCUUGCAACGAGCAUCUUCGCCGAGCCAGAUGGUUCUUACGGAUUGGGUGCUAGAUUGUUGGGAAGAUGACAUAUUGCAAGUGGUUGAUGAGAGGUUAAAAACAUGAUGAUAAUACGUACCUCGAGGAGCAAAUAACAAUGGUUCUGAAGCUUGGCUUGCUCUGUUCGCAUCCGGUUGCUGCCAUUAGACCGAGCAUGUCUAGCGUUGUCCAGUUCUUGGACGGUGGUGUGGCGUUGAAAAACUUAGUCAAAUUUAGUAAAACUAAGGGAGAGAACAUAUUUUGUAAAUAUGAGUUUUACAUAUCUUGAAGUUACUUAUCACUCUUAAAAAUACAAGUUAUUCAAAAACUAACAUAGAAGACUUAAAAACUAGCGGAGAAGACGCGGACGACUUCAAUCUAAGUUGUCCAGUUUCUUCAUGUCACAGUUGUGUUUGAAAACUAUUGUGCAACUCUACUCUUGUCCGAGUGUUUUUUCUACGAGAAUGUCUUUUUAGUGUGUGUUUCAGUCAUUUUAAGGGUCGUUGUAAUAAAGGUGAGUUUUGAUUAGAUCAGAUUUUUCGUCUUGUUUUCAACUGGGCAAAGGUUAAAUCCGAGAUUGCAAAAUGUAAAUGAAAACGAAUUGUUAUUUUGAAGGAAAUCAGGUGACAUCAACUCAAACAAACCCGAAAGAUCCUAAGCAGAAGCAAAUGUAUCAUAAGCAAAAGUGUAGAGGAGGAUGAUGAUAUGAUGAUUUUACAUGUAAAGGCCUUCAGGGACGCCUUCUUUCUUCUUGAACAUAACCUUUUCCUUGGCUUUCUUGAAAUCCGGAUGCGUCACCUGAACAGAUCACACAUCAAACAUUAGAGUUCGUGACUACUAAUUUCCCAAGGUGUGUGGGCUGAACCAAAUGAUUUAGACUCUUUACCUUCAUACGACGCUCCCUGAGCGCAAGCAGACCAGCCUCAGUGCAAAUAGCUUUGAUAUCAGCUCCUGAGAACUCGUCUUUUGUCAUCACAAACUCUUCCAAGUUUACAUCUUCCGACAGAGUCAUCUUCGAUGUGUGUAUCUAUUUUAAACAACGACACACGAGCUCAAUGAACAAAGAAACUUUUGAACAAGCGGUUGAGUAUGAUUUCUCAGCUUAAGUAAUUACCUGGAAGAUGCGUCUUCUCGUUUUGAUAUCUGGAAGUGGGAACUCGAUCUUCCUAUCAAUACGUCCAGGUCGAAGAAGUGCUGGGUCAAGACUCUCGAUUCUGUUUGUAGCAAGGAUGACUUUAACAUCUCCUCUUGAAUCAAACCCAUCAAGCUGGUUCAGAAGUUCCAACAUAGUUCUUUGGAUCUCAC
rnacentral:lncRNA from 1 species